rnacentral:rRNA from 1 species
AUUGAACGCUGGCGGCAUGCUUUACACAUGCAAGUCGAACGGUAACAGGCCUUCGGGUGCUGACGAGUGGCGAACGGGUGAGUAAUGCAUCGGAACGUACCCAGAGGUGGGGGAUAACGCAGCGAAAGCUGUGCUAAUACCUCAUGUGAUCUGAGGAUGAAAGCGGGGGACCGAGCAGCAAUGUUUGGCCUCGCGCCUUUGGAGCGGCCGAUGUCGGAUUAGCCAGUUGGUGGGGUAAAGGCCUACCAAGGCGACGAUCCGUAGCUGGUCUGAGAGGACGACCAGCCACACUGGGACUGAGACACGGCCCAGACUCCUACGGGAGGCAGCAGUGGGGAAUUUUGGACAAUGGGCGCAAGCCUGAUCCAGCAAUGCCGCGUGCGGGAAGAAGGCCUUCGGGUUGUAAACCGCUUUUGGCAGGAACGAAACGGUGUCCGCUAAUACCGGGCGCUAAUGACGGUACCUGCAGAAUAAGCACCGGCUAACUACGUG